rnacentral:misc_RNA from 1 species
GAACUCAAAGCAACAAAAUUAAGGUAGAAAAUAACUUAUAUAUAUCACCUUCCUCUAGAGAUCAAAUCAUACAUAAUCAACUCUUUUUAUGGUGGGAGUUCAUCUGACAAUUUUGGGGGAAAUGAGAAAACAAAGAAAACAAAAAGAAAACAAAAGGCCAUAACCAAAGUUCUAAAAUCAUGGGUGAAAAAACAAAAUGUACCUAGCUAGCUGCAUCUCCUCUCCUUGCUAAAUUUCAUAUAGAUAAUAGAGGAAAAUUGAGAAGAUGAUACCAAGAUUAAUUAUGUUGAAGCUCAUAAUUAAGAGAUUCCCACACCAAGAAAAUCUAUAAAGGAAACAUCCUUUUGCUUGAUUGCUCCAUCUCCUUGCUCUUUUAGCAAUGUAGCUGAUUUGCUUGCAUAGCCCCCAUCUCCAUAACUUACUAAAGCUAAAGGAUUAUUAUUAGGAGCAACUUUCUUAGAGCUAGAGAUCUGAGGUGAUGAUCCAAAGAGACUUUGGUAGCAGCCACCAUAGAUGGAUCCAUUAAAGCCAUGUGAUCCCUCUUUAGUGUACUGAGAACAAGAACUUGAUGAAUUCAUAUAAUCCUUUCUUUUUCCAUUGAAGAAAUCGAAAUUUAACGACUCGUUGGUGAUGGUUGAAGCACUAAUAGUCCAAGAAGGAGAUGAACUUGAACACAUGGGGAAGCAAACACUGCUUCGAAACCCUAAUUUAGAGUGAUCAACUAGUUGUUGAUGAGGCCUAUAACAGCUUUCAAAAUUGGAACCAGGAGCAGUUUUUUUGUUAGAUUCAGUUGGAUGAACAUGGAAACUUCUCUUACCAUAGACAGAUGAUAGGCGUUCUCGCUUUCUUCUUGCCAUCACUACAUGGUAGUGGUUCUUCACAGCGUUGUCUGUUCUUCCAGGGAAAAGCCUAGCUAUUGAAGCCCAUCUAUUUCCUUGAAUCUGAU